rnacentral:lncRNA from 1 species
ACGGUGGAAUCGAGCAUAUCUGGUUGGCCUGGCCGAAGGUAUGCGCGGGCUGCACCCGCGUGUGCAGGCGCGCACCCGCCCGUGCAGGAGUCGGCCACCCCUCCCCAACCCCCCCUCAUUUUCCUCCCUCUCAAUUUUCCUCCAACACCCACGAACUAGGGUUUAGGGAGCCCCUUCACCCUCGGUCAGCCGCCAUCCCGCCGCCGGUUCGUCGCCCCCGGAGCCUGUGCCAGUCCGCCACCAGUGCCCGCAGCAGUCCGCUACCAGUCGCCG